UACGUAGGCAGCGAGCGUUGUUCGGAAUUACUGGGCGUAAAGAGCGUGUAGGCGGUUUGGUAGGUCCGCUGUGAAAACUCGAGCUCAACCUCGAGACGCCGGUGGAAACCAUCAGACUAGAGUCCGGAAGAGGAGAGUGGAAUUCCUGGUGUAGCGGUGAAAUGCGCAGAUAUCAGGAAGAACACCCGUGGCUAAGGCGGCUCUCUAGUACGGUACUGACGCUGAGACGCGAAAGCGUGGGGAGCGAACAGG
rnacentral:rRNA from 1 species